CCAAUAGCGUAUAUUAAAGUUGUUGCAGUUAAAAAGCUCGUAGUUGAAUUUCGGGGUCAGUAGGUUGUUCAUGCCACUGGUAUGUACUGGUCUCACUGAUUCCUCCUUCCUGAUGAACCGUAAUGCCAUUAAUUUGGUGUUGCGGGGAGACUGGACUGUUACUUUGAAAAAAUUAGAGUGUUUAAAGCAGGCUAACGCUUGAAUAAAUUAGCAUGGAAUAAUGAAAUAGGACGUUCGAUCCUAUUUUGUUGGUUUCUAGGAUUGACGUAAUGAUUAAUAGGGAUAGUUGGGGGCAUUAGUAUUCAAUUGUCAGAGGUGAAAUUCUUGGAUUUAUUGAAGACUAACUACUGCGAAAGCAUUUGCCAAGGAUGUUUUCAUUAAUCAAGAACGAAAGUUAGGGGAUCGAAGACGAUCAGAUACCGUCGUAGUCUUAACCAUAAACUAUGCCGACUAGGGAUCGGAUGAUGUUAAUUUUUUAAUGACUCAUUCGGCGCCUUACG
rnacentral:rRNA from 1 species